rnacentral:rRNA from 1 species
GAACGCUAGCUACAGGCUUAACACAUGCAAGUCGAGGGGCAGCAUGAAGUUUGCUUGCAAACUUUGAUGGCGACCGGCGGAUGGGUGAGUAACGCGUAUCCAACCUCGCCCCUUCCCGGGCACAGCCCUUGGAAACGAGGAUUAACUCCCGAUGGUGUCAGUCAGGCGCAUGCCUUUCUGACCAAAUGUUUAAGGAAGGGGAUAGGCUCGCGUGACAUUAGCUGGAUGGCGGGGUAACGGCCCACCAUGGCUACGAUGUCUAGGGGUUCUGAGAGGAAGGUCCCCCACACUGGAACUGAGACACGGUCCAGACUCCUACGGGAGGCAGCAGUGAGGAAUAUUGGUCAAUGGUCUGACGACUGAACCAGCCAUGCCGCGUGAAGGUCACGGCCCUAUGGGUCUUAAACUUCUUUUGUAAGGGAGCAAUAAGUCUCACGUGUGGGAUGAUGAGAGUACCUUACGAAUAAGCAUCGGCUAACUCCGUG